CCAAGCUGCAUUUGCAGUUCUACAGACAGUUCUUGGCCUUAGCACCAUGAUCUGAUGAACAUUUGCAUUGCAUGGAGUCUGCAAUACUUAUCCAUUUAUGUCGUCAAAGCUGUACUUUUUUCUUUUAAGUUGUUUCCUUAUUUCUUAGCAUAUACUUUGAAGGACAAAAAUCCUUCAUAUCAGUGACCUUGCUUUGAUUUUGUAUUAUGAUUCAAUAACGGUCAUUUGAAUGGGUUGCUUUUGAGUUUCAACACUUGAUGUAAAAGUGCAUUUGGAUUUCAUAGUUCCCAUGGUUAUCAUAAUUCAUUGCAAAACAUGCUGACAUAGGAUGGUCUUGGUGGUGUGGGCUGCUUUUCGCCUAUUUUGAAUCUUCUAUUUCUCUUGAUUUGGUUACGUUAGGUCACUCUUUUCUAAUCUUGCUGGCUAGAAGAUAGUCUCGUCUUUGUUUGGUUGAGCUAUCAGUGCUAGCAACAAAGAGGUUCAUUUUUUUUUUUACUGGAUUUCAUGAUUUUGUUCAUCAUCCACAUGAUUUGGUGAUUAUGUUGUUGUGGUCCGAUGCAGUUAAUAGAGAAGGUGAAACUCUCAUGGCAUAAAGCAUCAGCAAGUCUAUUUUUACGCAAACAAGCAUAUGGUUUGAGUGGAGAUCUUGAGACUAACUAGUGCCUUGAAAGGAAUGACGGCUGUUGGCAGAACUAGAAAUUGAAUAUUUCUACUUGCAAGGUAUUGUGAAUGAGAUAGUGUUAAAUGCAUCUUGCGAAUGAUACAUGUUAAGAUAGUUUUCAUGUGGUAAAAACAUACGACCAUUGUAUAGAGGUGGGUUUCUCAGUGAA